AAUUGUACAUACGGGAACUUGAAGUAAUUGAGACAAUGCAGUCCGCAUUUGACAAUCUUCCCUGGUGGGAAAAAUGGCGGCUCUUUCGGUGGAAUCGUGCGAUUGAAAGCAAAACAAAAAAGUCAAGCAGAAGUUUGACAUCUGACUAGCUGACGAGACUGGAACAGAAGUAGAUGAUGUUUUUGCUGACAUUAUUGACCAAAAGCCUGACUUUCUUUGGAUGAUAGUUGAUGCUGUGGCUGUAGCACGUAUGAAAAGAUCUGUCAUCUUCAAAUGAGACAGAUACACCAUCACUUCAUUCAGUUGCAUCAUCGUCGGACACACAGCCAUCAGACAGCGAUGGUCCUUUCUUCCCACCUAAAAGAGCUCGUUCUAAUGACCAUUUGCAAGAAGCUAAGGAGCUUGUGAAAAGUGUUUUAGAAAAGCCUGCUGGGGAGAAGAUAUUUCAGAACACUGCCACACCAGUCAAGGAGACUGGGACAGUGUUAUGUAUUCCCAGUUAUUGCUGGUCUAUCUCCUGCCACCACCUUCUAGCGGAAAUAAGUUUGUCAAGAUCAGUGUGCGUGAAGCUUUGGAUCGCGUAGUAAGAUUUCACAAGUCCUCUUGCAGUUUUGAAGAAGUCCUUGGAUCAACACAGACAACACAGCCCUACAUCUUGACAGUUGGCACUUUGAAGAGUAGCAUCCAUUACUACUACAUUGCUGUGGAUGAGCGGCUCACCCCCUGCAUGACUUAGUCCUCUCUCUCAGCCUUUGAAGUUCUCAAUGUAUUGAUAUUUUAAUAUUUCUGAAAACUAUGCAGUGAAUAUCAUGCAUGACAUGCUAGAGGGAGUAGCACAGUUAGAGAUGAAGUUGCUUUUUGAUUAUCAAAGUUGUGUCCUUACAGUCUGCGAGCAACAGAAUUUACUCAUUUAACUAUGGUUAUUUUGAACGUAAAAACUGACCUACCGUGGUUAAGUUUGAAGAAGCUGGGAAUGGGAUGGGUCUCAAUGCCAUCCAGACAUUUGCCUCAUUAGAAAUCUGCUUCUACUGCAGAUAAUAAAUAGUGUUUUCUCCAGUCAUCUCGAAUGGAAUGACUGUUCAUCUGAAACAUUUGAUCUGUGAACACCACACGCUGUUCAAAGAACUCUAUCCAAGAAAUCUUAUUCCCAAGCUUCACUUCAUGAUCCACUAUCCCCGAUGCAUCAGUAAGAUAGGCCCGCUUGUUCAUGUUUGGGGGAUGCACUAUGAGGCAAAACAUUGCAAUUUUAUUUUAUUUUAUUUUUUUAAGUGUAAAAAAUUUCCAAAACAUUACCAAGUCAUUAGCACUUAAACAGUAGUAAUAUGAAAUUGCACUAAUGACUGAAAUUCAAAUUUAAAUGAUUUGUUCUUUUAAUGCUGUCACACUGUUUUUUAUGCAUGCUGUAUUAAUUGUGUUUGUAAACAAAACAUGAAUUGAAUAUCUUUGUGGUCUGUU